rnacentral:rRNA from 1 species
GAAAUGCGAUAAGUAAUGUGAAUUGCAGAAUUCCGUGAAUCAUCGAAUCUUUGGACGCACAUUGCGCCCUCUGGUAUUCCGGGGGGCAUGCCUGUUCGAGCGUCAUU